rnacentral:lncRNA from 1 species
AUAACAAUGGGAAGUGGGAUUUGGUUCUCACUGAUGAUUCCAUAGUUAAUGAGCCUUUUUCUGUGAAGAUAGUGAGUUGUGUCCUUUUCUCCUCUUUAGGGAGAUAAAGAGAAAAAAAAAAGGAGCCAAGAACAGACAGCUGCCUGCAGACCCAGCUGUGCCCCACAGCACGGUGAAGGGGUGAAGGUCUCCUGGCAUUUGUUUCUCAAUGAUACUUACAAAAAGGAAGACUAUUAAUGGCUCCUCAUCAGUUCUACUUACUACUCCAGUUUCUGUUUCAUCAAAACGUUUCCUGCAACAGGCACAUAGACACCGGCUUUAUUUAACCCUGUCUGUUUCUAAUGACUUCGUGGGCGCUUGUUCAUUUGGAGUUGGCCUGGCUGCUGCCUCUGUCUGGAAUAUUCUUCACAGGCCUUGCUCAUACCUCUUUAUCUGGGUCAGUUCCUGCUCUGCCUUUGAUGUCAACCUACUUCCUCAAGACAUCUCUUGAAAUGAUGUCAAGCUGGUGACAGGCCAGCCAGUUGGAAGGCUGAGAUUUCCUUGCAGCUCACCCAUAAGGACUACACAUAGAAGAGACAGGGUGGAACCUUGUAAGUAGAGUUUGUAACUUCAGCUGCCAGAUGUCUCCGAGAGUCAAGGGGCUAUAGGUACUGCAGGUCUUACCUGGUUGUGGACAGAUAUUGCUGUUGGGGGAGGCCAACUCUGAGAUGAAGGUAAGUGUGUAGCAAAUUAGAGAGUUCUCUGGGCCCAUAGGGAAAAGAAAACAAGUAGGGUGCAGGGGAAGUUGAGCUAAUCUCAAUAGAAUUCUGGAACUAAAAUGAUCUUUUAGAGCUGUCUAUAAAGGUGUAACCUUGGGGAUGAAUCUUCUCGUGAGGGCCCAUAUCUGGGCUGCCUGUGUGUGAUGCUCCCAACCUCUUGACAGGUCUGGGAAUGCAGCACAGAGUUGGCACAUAUGUCUUUUGUUGUGAGAGUCUCCCAGAGUGGCAGAUGCCCAUCAUUUUCUGUAGUUAUGUCUUCACUGGGCUUAGAAUGUCUUUACUGUUUUCAAAGUUUUUUCUUCAUGGUAAACAAAAGCCAAGCCAAGCCAGACAUGGUGGUACAUGCCAGUGAUGCCAACACCUGGAGGCUGAAGCAAGAGUGUUACUGCAAGUACAGGACCGAUCUGAGCUAUACAUAGUUGAGUUAGAGGGCAGCCUGGGCUACACAGUAAGAUUCUGUCUCUAAAUAGCUGGGUGUUUGUUUGUUUGUUUUUAAAAGCAAACUUUAUAUUAAAUAAGAGAUGCUUUCUUGCUAAUUCUCAUUUAAAAUAUCAGAUCAGAGAAACCAAAUGACACUUGAACUAUCUAAUAGAUUUCUAUAAUUUCUAUAAUAUCUGAUAGCUGUAUUUCCUUUUAUAGCCUUUCUUGACUUUACAAACCUAAUUUAUUUGCUGUUUUUUUAAAAAUAUGUUUCUUCUCUAGUUAUCUGUUAUAAUUCAUUAAACAUUAUUUUAAAAGCUAGCUUCUUCACUCUCUGGCAGUUAUUUCCUUUCAUUAUUUCAUUUCAUCUCAUUUUGUGGUACUGAGGAUUGAACUCAGGACCUUGAGUGUGACAGUCAAAUAUUCUCUUUCCAAGCUACAUUUCCAACCCAUUCUCCCCUGAGUUUUUAAAAUUGGAAAACUCCACUUAAUAUGUAGCAUGUAGAGUGAGAUCUACUACCUACAUGUGGGCUAACUAGUCAGACUACAGGGGAAAUAGUGUAGCUUAGGCCUCCUUAAGCUUGAGGUCAACAAAGAUUCUCAUGUCUUUUUCCACAUAGAUUGUUUGCAGCUCAACAUUUUUAUAUGUGGACCUAUGAAAUUUGUCAACAAGGUCACUGGACCAAAGCUAAAUGGUCCCUUUUAGCCUUUUUUUAUUACAUGGCAUUUAUAACCAGAUUUAUUCUAAAACAGUAAAAUCUGAUGUUUAUUCAAUCCCUGUAGUGUGCUGGACACACCAUUUCAACAUGCCUGCAUGCUGUUUUUCCUUUGAUUGAGAAGGCAAUGGAAACACCCAUGGAUUAAGAGAACCCUUGGACUAAGUGCACUGUGGAUUAAGUACAAGUAACUUUCCCAAAGUUAUGAAGUCAGUUAAUGGAGGAGUCCAGAUUUCAUAUCUUGUAGUCUAGUUUAAAAAAAAAAAAAACUUCUUCAAUGUAUUUUGAUCUAGUCUUGCAAUGAGGUUGUCAGGUAAAAAUAUAAGGAAUUUAUUAGGGAGAUGUCUUACUUACAGAGUGAGCUAGCCAGCCAUCAGGGCAGGAGUAAGUACAGCAAGCUGAUGAGGAAACGGAAGAAGGGAGUUCCACGUGCGUGCCCCUCACUCUUAAAUCUUCCCUUCAUCACUCUCCCACGCGUGGUCAGGCAUACCUGUAGCCAGCCCCUAGCAGGUGUCCCCUACAGUCUUGAUUUAAAUUUUUAGAUUUAUUUGUAUUUUGUUUUUUGUGUAAUGAAUGUUUUGCAUGCGUGUUAGUCAGUUUUGGUUCAAUGUUGUAAGAAACCAUGACCAAGGCAACUCAUAGAGGGAAGGUUUAUAUGGGGCUUAUGGUUCCAGGAAGAUAUAGUUAGGGUUUCUAUUGCUGUGAAGAGACACCAUGACCCUGGCAACUGUUAUAAAGGAAAAAAUUUAAUUAGGGCUGGCUUACAGUUUCAGAGGUCCCUUAUCAUUAUGGUGAGAAGUAUGGUGGCAUGCUGGCAUACAUGGUGCUGAGAGUUCUACAUUUUGAUCUUCAGGCAGUAGCAGGAGGCUGUGCCACACUAGGCCUAGUCUGAGCACAUAAGACCUCAAAGCCAGCUUCCACAGUGACAAACUUCCUCCAGUAAGUCCACACCUACUCUUUGCAGGCCACACUUCCUGACAGUGCCACUCCCUAGGGCCCAGGCAUUCAAACACAUGAGUCUAUGGGGGCCAUUCCUAUUCAAACCGCCACGUCCAUCAUGGCAGGGAGCAUGGCAGCAGGCAGGCAGGCAGGCACUAGAGCAGCCAAGGAGAGCUCACAUCUUGAUCCACAACCAGGAAGCAAUGAGAGCCCAUUGGGAACAGCUCCAGUCUUUUGAAACCUUAAAGCUUGCCCGCAUUGACAUACUUUCUCCAAUGAGGCCACACCUCCUAAUUGUUCCCAAGUAGUUCCACCAACUUUGGACCAUAUAGUUGUUUUAGUUAGGGCUCCUAUUGCUGUAUAGAGAAACCAUGACUACAGCAACUCUUAGAAAGGAGAACAUUUAUUUAUGGUGAGGUUCUGUCCAUUAUCAUCAUGGUGGGGAGCAGGCAGACAUGAUGCUAGCUACAUCUUGAUCAGAAGGCAACAGGAAGUGGACUGUCUGUUGAACUGAGUGAAGCUUGAACAAAAGAGACCUCAAAGCCUGCCCCUACAGUGACACACUUCCUCCAAUAAGGCCACACCACUUCAGCAAGGCUACACCCACUUCAACAAGGCCACACUUCCUAAUAUUGCCACUCCCCUUUGGAAUUAUGGGUACCAGAUGCAUUCAAACUACCACAGUAGUCAAACAAAUGAACUUACGGGGCCAUCCUCAUUCAAACCACCAUAGUAUAUUCAGGAGAGGACAUUGGAUCUGCUGGAACUACAAUUACAGGCAGUUGUUAGCUACCACAUGGGUGCUGGGAAUCAAACCUGGGUAAUCUGCAAAGUAAAAAGCGCUCUUAAUAGCUGAGCCAUAUCUCUAUCCCCAAGGCUAUUUAAAUUAGGUGAUGACUAACCCCCUGAAGACAGAACACACCAGUGACUCUUCUGAGAUGAUUAGAGAGAUAGUAACUUUUGUUAUUUUGAUUUUUUUUGAAACAUGGUCUCACUAUGUAGUCUUGAUCUCAUAAUCCUCCUGCCUCAGCACCCACCACCCCAAGUGCUGGGAUUAUGGGUGUACACCAUUGUGCCCACCUGCCAGUAACAUUCUUUAAUUUGAAGGAAUCCCAAAAUAUCAACACUUUGACAGAGAUUUUCUCCAGUACCAUGUUUUCUAAGAGGGAGGACCAUACUUUUUUUAAAUCUUCAAACACUGUAGGUCUACCACAGUGUAUAAUCUGUGAUUGUGCCUUGUCCAUUUAUUAGCUAUCUGCUCCCAAUCCCCACUCUUUCAUUGCUUUGCAACACUGGAGCAGGACUCUGCAAAUGUUUCUCCUCCACCAGUGUCGUAAAGUUUGUCAGUAGAGGGCGCUGGAGGGACACUGUCAGAAGGGCUUUUCGUUUGGUUCUGGGGCUUCCCUUCUUGCUGGGUGCAGUGCUCAUGGAGGUGCACAGUUUCUGGCAAGCUAUUACGGUCCAGAAAGUUGCAUCGACAGAGCUUCGCCAGCACUCUGAUUGGAAGCUUCCUGAAGCACUAUCCAGUGGGCUGUAGACAUGUCUUCCCAGUGCAGCACACAUCUCUUCCUUGAGAGGAC